GAUGAACGCUGGCGGCGUGCUUAACACACGCAAGUCGAACGGAAAGGCUCCUGCUUGCAGGGGUACUCGAGUGGCGAACGGGUGAGUAACACGUGGGUGAUCUGCCCUGCACUUCGGGAUAAGCCUGGGAAACUGGGUCUAAUACCGGAUAGGACCACAUUUUGGAUGGUGUGGUGGAAAGUUUUUCGGUGUGGGAUGAGCUCGCGGCCUAUCAGCUUGUUGGUGGGGUAAUGGCCUACCAAGGCGUCGACGGGUAGCCGGCCUGAGAGGGUGUACGGCCACAUUGGGACUGAGAUACGGCCCAGACUCCUACGGGAGGCAGCAGUGGGGAAUAUUGCACAAUGGGCGCAAGCCUGAUGCAGCGACGCCGCGUGGGGGAUGACGGCCUUCGGGUUGUAAACUCCUUUCGCUAGGGACGAAGCGCAAGUGACGGUACCUGGAGAAGAAGCACCGGCUAACUACGUG
rnacentral:rRNA from 1 species